AUUGAACGCUGGCGGCAGGCCUAACACAUGCAAGUCGAGCGGAUGAAGGGAGCUUGCUCCUGGAUUCAGCGGCGGACGGGUGAGUAAUGCCUAGGAAUCUGCCUGGUAGUGGGGGAUAACGUCCGGAAACGGGCGCUAAUACCGCAUACGUCCUGAGGGAGAAAGUGGGGGAUCUUCGGACCUCACGCUAUCAGAUGAGCCUAGGUCGGAUUAGCUAGUUGGUGGGGUAAAGGCCUACCAAGGCGACGAUCCGUAACUGGUCUGAGAGGAUGAUCAGUCACACUGGAACUGAGACACGGUCCAGACUCCUACGGGAGGCAGCAGUGGGGAAUAUUGGACAAUGGGCGGAAGCCUGAUCCAGCCAUGCCGCGUGUGUGAAGAAGGUCUUCGGAUUGUAAAGCACUUUAAGUUGGGAGGAAGGGCAGUAAGUUAAUACCUUGCUGUUUUGACGUUACCAACAGAAUAAGCACCGGCUAACUUCGG
rnacentral:rRNA from 1 species